AAAGCUCAAAUUUAAAAUCUGGCAUCCUUUGGGUGUCCGAGUUGUAUUCUGGAGAAGUGUUUUCCGCGCUGGACUGUGUAAAAGUUUCUUGGAACAGAACAUCAUAGAGGGUGAGAAUCCCGUCUUUGACACAGACUCCCAGUGCUUUGUGAUGCGCUCUCAAAGAGUCGCGUUGUUUGGGAAUGCAGCGCAAAAUGGGUGGUAAAUUCCAUCUAAAGCUAAAUAUUGGCGAGAGACCGAUAGCGAA
rnacentral:rRNA from 1 species